rnacentral:lncRNA from 1 species
AGCAGAACUUCACUCUAUGCAUCUACAAAAUACAGAUAAUUCCUACCUCAGUGCUAGUGGGAGGGUCCAAUGAGAUUAAGCCUGUGGACAUAAUGAAUUCCAUCCUGACCCAGGGCCCAGCUUAUGGAUGGGUCCUUCAAGGCCAUUCUGUGGAGGACAGCCCGGGCAGGGGCACAGAUCCAGCCGGAAGGUCCUGGACUUGGGACCAGAUCACCAGUCCCCAAGAGGGGAAUAAAGCAAGGGCUUCGUCAGCCCGACCCAUCAUGGACUAUCCCCUCCCUGUGUUGCAUAAUAGACUUCUAGUAAUACAAC